rnacentral:rRNA from 1 species
ACUCCUACGGGAGGCAGCAGUAGGGAAUUUUCCGCAAUGGACGAAAGUCUGACGGAGCAAUGCCGCGUGAGUGAUGAAGGUUUUCGAAUCGUAAAGCUCUGUUGUAAGGGAAGAAUAGCAAGAAUAGGAAAUGAUUCUUGUCUGACGGUACCUUACCAGAAAGCCACGGCUAACUACGUGCCAGCAGCCGCGGUAAUACGUAGGUGGCAAGCGUUAUCCGGAAUUAUUGGGCGUAAAGAGCUCGUAGGCGGUUUGUCGCGUCUGCUGUGAAAUCCCGAGGCUCAACCUCGGGCCUGCAGUGGGUACGGGCAAACUAGAGUGUGGUAGGGGAGACUGGAAUUCCUGGUGUAGCGGUGGAAUGCGCAGAUAUCAGGAGGAACACCAAUGGCGAAGGCAGGUCUCUGGGCCACUACUGACGCUGAGGAGCGAAAGCGUGGGGAGCGAACAGGAUUAGAUACCCUGGUAGGCUCUG